GGGCGGUUAGCUCAGUUGGUUAGAGCACUUGCUCGACACGCAAGAGGUCAGUGGUUCGAGUCCACUACCGCCCACCA
rnacentral:tRNA from 1 species